UACAGAGGUCUCAAGCGUUGUUCGGAUUCAUUGGGCGUAAAGGGUGUGUAGGUGGCGCGCUAAGUCGGGUGUGAAAUUUCGGAGCUUAACUCCGAAACUGCAUUCGAUACUGGCGUGCUUGAGGACUGGAGAGGAGACUGGAAUUCAUGGUGUAGCAGUGAAAUGCGUAGAGAUGUGGAGGAACACCGAUGGCGAAGGCAGCCUUCUGGGCCAACACUGACGCUCAUGCACGAAAGCGUGGGGAGCAAACAGG
rnacentral:rRNA from 1 species